rnacentral:lncRNA from 1 species
GUUACCAGUUUGUCCAGUAACUCGCCAAGUACGUUGGACAGACUUGAGACGCAUAGAGGAGUUGAUCAUGACGACGGAGUUCGAGUCCGGGGAGGAACGGUUUCAGAAAGCAGUUUUUUGGCGACUCCAUCGUCUCUGGCCUCAGCUUUGACCUGCACCAGCUGGCAGUCGGAGAAGUAUCGUCCGCUGAGGUGUUCAAUGCCAUCCUGAAGGCUACAGUACAGCGUGGUCUGAGCGCCGGACACUGGAUCUGUAGCAAAGAACUUGGAAACGACGGUCAAGAGAACACGAGCGUGCCAUUCAGUGAUGUCGCGGCCCAGCUCAGACCUUACUGAACCUGGAAAACAUGAAAACAAACUCUUAGAGAGCGAAAAAACAGAUGCUGAAGCAAGAAACUGCAGGUGAACAAGGUACAGAAAUGCUUCUCCAGUUUAUUGAUGACACUAAAGAUUUCUAAAA